rnacentral:tRNA from 1 species
AAGGCUUUAGCUUAAUUAAAGUGUCUGUUUUGCAUUCAGGAGAUGCAGAUUAAAACUCUGUGGGCCUUA